rnacentral:rRNA from 1 species
CCUACGGGUGGCAGCAGUGAGGAAUAUUGGUCAAUGGCCGGAAGGCUGAACCAGCCAAGCCGCGUGAAGGACGAAGGUGCCAAGCAUUUUAAACUUCUUUUGUCAAGGGACAAAAUCAGGCUCGAGAGCCUGACCGAGGGUACUUGAAGAAAAAGCAUCGGCUAACUCCGGGCCAGCAGCCGCGGUAAUAGGGCGGAUGCGAGCGUUAUCCGGAUUUAUUGGGGUAAAAGGGUGCGUAGGCGGACUGUUAAGUCGGCGGUAAAAGCCCGGGGCUAAACCCCGGCGAGCCGUUGAAACUGGCUGUCUUGAGAUGUCGAGAGGUAUGCGGAAUGCGGAGUGUAGCGGUGAAAUGCUUAGAUAUUGCGCAGAACUCCGAUGGCGAAGGCAGCAUACCGGCGGCGAUCUGACGCUGAGGCACGAAAGCGUGGGUAGCGAACAGGAUUAGAUACCCCUGUAGUC